GUUAAAUCACUGAGGGGUUUCCCGCCAUUGUUAAAAGCGCGAAUCUCGGCAGGUCACGAGACUAGCGGGCUUCUACGGUGAUAUUCAUUGUGAGAGACGACUUCAGAUCAGCUUUUAUUCUCGUCGUGUGUAACACUACUACUACUCAGAUUACUGGCCCAGCUCUUCCCAAAACGCUAACUAACUAGGUCAAGCUGGCCCAGGAGUUGCAGACAGAGCAUUAAAGGAAACUGAAGAACAACAAACUGGACGUUAACCAGUCAGGUUUUAGGAGUGGCCAUUCAACUGAGACUCCGCUACAUGGCCUGCAGAUUGCAAAAGCUGAUUCUAAAUCAUCAGUUCUUAUUCUGCUGGAUCCAUCUGCUGCUUUUGACACUGUCAGUCAACAGAUCUUCCUUUCUGUCCUCUCUUCACUGAGCAUCACAGGGAUUUCACUUCGCUGGUUUGGAUCAUAUAUCACUGGUAGGUCUUUCAGGGUUUCUUGGGGAGGGGAUUUAUCUAAAGCACAUCAACUGGUCACUGGGGUUCCUCAGGGAUCAGUUCUUGGACACCUCCACUUCUCCAUAUACACAACAUCACUGGGUCCCAUCAUAUAGGCACGUGGCUUCUACCAUAGCUAUGCUGAUGACACUCUAUCUCUCAAUUCAACCAAAUGAUCCAACGUUAGCUGCACAGAUCUUAGGCUUCCUCCCAGACAUCUGGGCAUGGAUGAAAGAAUAUCACCUACAGCUCAACCUGGCAAAGACUGAGCUUCUUGUCUUCCCUGCCACUCCAACUCUACAGAAUGAUUUCACAAUCCAGCUGGUUCUUCUACAAUUACCCUAACAAAUUCGGUCAGAAAUUUUGGUGUAACCUUUGAUGACCAGCUGACCUUAAAAGAUUUCAAGGACUGCUCGAUUUUGCAGAUUUGCAUUGCACAACAUCAGAAAGAUCAGGCCCUGUCUAACAGAGCAUGCUUCAAAACUUUUUGUCCAGGCCUUUGUCAUUUAUAGGCUGGAGAACUGCAAUGCUCUUCUGGCUGGACUUCCAUCAAGGACAAUCAAAGCUCUACAAAUGAUUCAAAAUACAGUGGCACUUCAAUGAGCCCAAAAGAACACGUUACACCUCUCUUUAUCUCCUUGGACUAGCUUCUGGUUGCAGCUCGAUAGGGUAAUCAAGUUCAAGACAUUGAUGUCACUGGCUCAGCACCCGCAUACUUCCACUCACUACUACAAAUCUACAUCCUCUCCAAAGUCUGAGAUCCACUAGUGAGCGACGUCUGGUGGUACCACCACAGAGAGGCUCAAAAUCACUUUCCAGAUCAUUCUUGUUCACAAUUCAUUUCUGAUGAAAUGAUCACCCCACCCCUAUCCGGAAUGCUGAAUCCCUGAAAAAUUUCAAGCAACUACUGAAAAUCUCUUUCGAAGCUCAUCACAAAAAAAAAAAAAACUUUGUCUUUCUCUUUAUUUAUUCCUUCUCUUUCUAGUUUGUGCUUAUUUGAACAUUGCCUAAAACUUGGUAUUAUGAGCACUUCCUGUGUCUGUUUGCCUCUUUAAGAAGAAUCGCUUUAUGUAUCCCCCAAUUGUAAGUCGCUUUGGAUAAAAACGUAUGCAAAAUGACUAAAUGUAAAUGUAAAUUUAAGUCAGUGAUUCAAUGAUCCUUUCACAAAGACAUUUGCUUGUUUCAUCUCUAAAUGAGUCAGCUGUUUUGAACAAAUCAUUUGAAUGAAUCAUGCAGUGACUCGCUCAUCAAGACAUUGACUUGCCGCCACCUACUGGCAGUUUUAGUUUAAUUUAUCCAUGACAGGUCUCCUUGCCAAGGUACCAACACAAAAACACACUAAGUAAAAUAUUGUGUAAUUAUCAUCACCAGGAAAAAAAAAUUACUAUAGAUAUCAAGAUACCAUUUUCCCACAAUAUUAUGCAAAUCUAUUUGCUAUUUGGUUGCUAGGUUCUUCUCUUUGGUUGCUCUAUUGCAAGAGUGUUCUACCUACUGUAAUUGCAAAAUGCUAAAUGCAUACAUCAUUUUAGAAUUGACAUUCUGUAUUCAAUAUCUCUUACCUUCAGUAAAGUAAAUUAUACUACUAAUAAUAAAGAAUAUCUAUUUUAAUUAUUGAUCUGUAUAUAAGACUAUAUUUCAGUCUGGUAGUUGAGAAAAGACUGAGGACCUGUAGUCUAGACAACAUGACAUUUUGUAUUCAAGUGGGCUAUCAGAUUAUAUGUGGACCGUCCUGUUCAGACACUGAAAAAAGUAUUUAAAAAAACAGGCCUGGUAUUGAUGUUCUCUCUCUGUGGACAUAUGAGAUUACAGAAAGAUCAGAUAACACGCCCUCACUCCAUCCUCCAGGAACAUAAAAAAGACUGUCCAACCUCCACCCAUCUCCGUCCAUCAAUCUCUCUGCAUUUCUCUCAUAUUGCCACACAAAUCAGCACAUUUGAAACCCAGCACUGCAUGAAUAGGAGAAGAGCAAAAAAAGAGGGUAGCUCACAUCCAAACUCACUCCCCCAUUAAGAAAAUCUAUAGCGGAUGCUUGUAUACUUCAACAAUGAGAUCUUAUGAAUAAAGCAGGAGGUGGCUCAUCUUAAUGGCUAAAAGGGUUUUUAUUGUCAUACUUUCCCAAAGACCCAGACAGUGUUGCAUAAACACACUGAUCAUUUUCUUUUUUCUUUUUUUGCUAGCAACAUAUAAAUACCAAAUAUUUCAUCAUAUUGCAGAUGUUUUGUCUCACGCCACAGUCCUGCUGAGAAACCGCCUUUGACUCAUAGAUAAACAACAGGUUCAAGAGAUAAAAUAUUCUUUUUUUCUACAUAGGUUUCAGAAGCAUGUUUUUAGAGAUUUUAGUAAUUAUAACAAUUAGAUUACAGAGUACAUAUUUUCACUUCAAGCCAAAUAGAUGCUAACAAAAGUUGUUUCACCCAAAGAAAGAACAGUAUUUUGCUUUCGCAUUUUGCAUUACAAUCUGUUUUCAUCGUUCAUUUUUUGAAGCAUGAAGAAUUAGAUCAAUUACAUCAAACUGCAUUAGUUGUGCCAAAUGUGCGUUGCACAGAACAAACCUAAGCAGUUUCAGCAUUUCAUUCAGCAAAUUUUUUUUUGUUUUUUAUUGUAUUCUUAAGUCACACUAAAGCGAUGAAUUAAAU